AGGCUCGCUAAUUAAAAAUUCAGUUACACUCAAUUCAUACGGAUGGUUGAUCUAAAUAUCACGUUCCAAAAUCACGACUGAAAUUAUCGCAAGAAUGCUGAAGUACUUUGCUGUACGUGGCUUAAAUCAUGACGUUGGACACUAGAUCUACGCAACAUAACACAGCCAAGAGGAACUGGGCACUGGUUUGAGGUCACUACUUCCGUGGAGACGUCAGCCAUCAUUAAAUGUACACUAAACGAAGUAAUCGGUUGAUGCCGAAGAGACCGUUGGAAACAGGUUUCAUCAAGAAAUGGAGCUUUAAGUGUACAAGACUUUUCAAAGAUAUUUGUGAGCUGCAAAAGUUCUUAAAUCAGAAUAAGAAGACUCGAGGCUGGUGAUUGACGCAAUAAUUUCCUGGGAUUUAAACUAAACAAUGGCUCAAUCCUGGAGACACCAAUAUCAGGUAGAAGAUGAAGAGGUGGCGUUAGCCAAGGCUCUGGAGCUUUCACGUCUAGAAGAGGAAAAGAGACAGCCAGCACGUCCAAUCCAACACGAUCCUUUUCUCACAAGGCAGCCUGGUCAUGGGGAUUUGGUAGCAGUUAAAAUUACUGAGACUCUGAUUUAUUUUUAAGAGUCUUAAAUGUCGGUGAUAAGCUGAGGGUGGAAGACCACUGAAGUCUACUAAUAUCUCCACAUUGAACUGAUCUGUAGACAUUGCAACCACUAGUUUAAUUUUGUGAUGUUUCCGAGUGGCUAGUGUGACGCAGCGUUUCGUCGCGACCGAGGGACUCAUUGGAGACCUUUCCUGGGGCCUGUUUCUCGAAGGUCCCGAAAAGUUUUCGAACCCGGAAAGCCAUAGCAAAAUCUCGAACCUUAUGA
rnacentral:misc_RNA from 1 species